UCGGGUGACAGGGAGACAGGUGGUGCAUGGUUGUCGUCAGCUCGUGUCGUGAGAUGUUGGGUUAAGUCCCGCAACGAGCGCAACCCCUACGUUUAGUUGCUAACAGGUGAAGCUGAGCACUCUAGACGAACUGCCGUUGACAAAACGGAGGAAGGUGGGGAUGACGUCAAAUCAUCAUGCCCCUUAUGUUCUGGGCUACACACGUGCUACAAUGGCCGGUACAGACGGAGGCGAAGCCGCGAGGCGGAGCAAACCGAAAAAGCCGGUCUCAGUUCGGAUUGCAGGCUGCAAUUCGCCUGCAUGAAGUCGGAAUCGCUAGUAAUCGUGAAUCAGCUAUGUCACGGUGAAUGUGUUCCUGAGCCUU
rnacentral:rRNA from 1 species